GCGCCCGUAGCUCAGUGGAUUAGAGCAUCGGUCUUCUAAACCGAGGGUCGCAGGUUCGAGUCCUGCCGGGCGCGCCA
rnacentral:tRNA from 1 species